CCUACGGGAGGCAGCAGUGAGGAAUAUUGGUCAAUGGGCGCGAGCCUGAACCAGCCAAGUAGCGUGAAGGAUGACUGCCCUACGGGUUGUAAACUUCUUUUAUAAAGGAAUAAAGUGAGGCACGUGUGCCUUUUUGUAUGUACUUUAUGAAUGAGGAUCGGCUAACUCCGUGCCAGCAGCCGCGGUAAUACGGAGGAUCCGAGCGUUAUCCGGAUUUAUUGGGUUGAAAGGGAGCGUAGAUGGGGUGUUAAGUCAGUUGUGAAAGUUUGCGGCUCAACCGUAAAAUUGCAAUUGAUACUGGAAGGCUUGAGUACAGUUGAGGUAGGCGGAAUUCGUGGUGUAGCGGUGAAAUGCUUAGAUAUCACGAAGAACUCCGAUUGCGAAGGCAGCUUACUAAACUGCCACUGACAUUGAUGCUCGAAAGUGUGGGUAUCAAACAGGAUUAGAUACCCCAGUAGUC
rnacentral:rRNA from 1 species